rnacentral:rRNA from 1 species
CACGUAGGCGGCUUUGUAAGUUAGAGGUGAAAGCCCGGAGCUCAACUCCGGAAUUGCCUUUAAGACUGCAUCGCUUGAAUCCAGGAGAGGUGAGUGGAAUUCCGAGUGUAGAGGUGAAAUUCGUAGAUAUUCGGAAGAACACCAGUGGCGAAGGCGGCUCACUGGACUGGUAUUGACGCUGAGGUGCGAAAGCGUGGGAGCAAACA